rnacentral:lncRNA from 1 species
AAAAGAAGAAAAAAAGAAAUUCAGUUGGUUUUUUGCUUUUUAGGGCCGCACUCACAGCACAUGGAGGUUCCCAGGCUAAGGGUGGUAUCAGAGCUACAGCUGCCAGCCUGUGCCACAGCCACAGCAGGAUCUGAGCCACCCCACAACCUCAUGGUUCCUAGUCGGAUUCAUUUCUGCUAUGCCACAAUGAGAACUCUGGGUUGUUUGGUUUUUUUUUUUUUUUUAAUGUUUUUAACCAAAGUCACUAGGAAAUCAUAAAUGGCAGCUGUGGCUCCACUUAGUUUCUACUGGACAGAAAUAGCCCUAGACUUUGCCAGUCUGGCACCUUGUGGCGGGUGCCCAGGGCAAGUUUGAUGAAUGAAUAAGUGACCUGACGCUUUGAGAACAGAACGAGAGUGUACCAGCAUCCCCCUGGCCCAUCCCUGGUGUCCUCAGGCUGUGCUGUCCCCUUGCUCGAGGGCCCUGACACCCUUCCCUUCGUCCCUUCUUCUCCUGCUCCAGGGUCGUGAGGCAGAGGCCACCAGGGCUGGCCGCCUGCAGAGGCAAGGCUGGCUGCUGCCGGGGAGCCUGCCCUGGGCAGGGCCUUCUGGAAGGCCCCACACUGACCUGGAAACAGUGUCCUGCAGAGCAGCCCAGGCCGCGCUGGGGUCGGCCCCCUCCCAGCCGCUGCGUGUGAUGCCCCAACCCUGCUGACACUGUCCCCGCAGGUUCCUCCAAAGCUCCUGGAGGCCAGGAGCACACUGAGGGCUGUGAGCCAGCCCUCCCGCUGCCCAAGGCCUCCCGGAAGAACACCAGAGCUGCGCUCGCCCGCUGGGCACGGCGCCCGGGCCCUGCACGCCACGGCGCCCUCUUUGAUGCCUUGGGAAAGGUUAACUUUGAAGCUGCCAGUCUGGGUGGCCUGGCCAGGCAGGGCUUGAAGGAAGAGCUCUAUGGCUCUAGGCCGCUGCCAUCUGCAGCGUGACCCCCGAGCAGAUGGGAGCCUGGUCUGAGCUCCAGGGAGCCCCUCUUCCCAGAGGUGUGUGGAAAUCUUAGCUGUGCGGCAUCUUUGGGAAGAAGUACGGUUGACGUAAGCUAAGGUUUCCGCAACUGAAUCUGCUCCCCCGCCAGGCACAACACUGAAACUUAUUUUAAUGGUUUUAGGUGAGAAAUAUUCAAUAAUGGCUUUUAGCCUUUUCUCUGUGACAAACGGUGACCGUUCAGCGUGAGACUGUCAAGCUUGAGGCUUGUUUGUCCCUCCACCACCGUCCCCAAGGCCACACUCCCUGAGUCUGCAUUGUCCUUCCUGCCACUAGGCCUUUCUCGUGCUCUGGCCCCAUCAGGGCACCUGCCUCCCACGUCCUCCAUGACUCACUGUCCCGCAGCCCAUCUAGGUCCCCUUAGAAAUGCUUCUUCUAAGCUGAGCUGGAAAGCCUGGUUGAUUCAAGUGUUUAUAAGAUAAGGACAGAGCUUUGGACUUGGUCUUACCUCUGACCCUGGCGGACUUCGGCCCAGGGCUUUGGGGUAUGAACAGGUGAGGUUCCCCAUACAUGCCCUCAAAUAAAAGGGGUGACUGUCCUUAUAAGAACAUAUUGGUACAUGAACAAGAAUGUCUAUCAAAAGCCACAGAUUUGGAGUUUCCAUCGUGGCUCAGCAGAAACAAACCCGACUAGGAACCAUGAGGUUGCGGGUUCGAUCCCUGGCCUUGCUCAGUGGGUUAAGGAUCCUGCGCAGCCAUGAGCUGUGGUAGGUCGCAGACAUGGCUCGGAUCUGGCGUGGCUGUGGCUGUGGUGUAGGCUGGCAGCUGUAGCUACAAUUAGACCCCUAGCCUGGGAACCUCUUUGUUAAAAAGCAAAAAAAAAAAAAAAAAAAAAAAAAAAGCUGCAGAUUCCCUACAGAUCAGAAAGUACCAAUAUUUUAUCUUCACAGUAGCUCCAAGGUCUACUAUUUCCCUGAAUUUGGCAAGAUCAAAAUUAAUCCGACAGAGCAACUCACCCGUGGGCUGCAGGAGGCCCAAGACUGGGAGGUGUCCUUGAGUCAGUCCUUCUGUCGCCACCACCUCCCACGGGUCCCAGAUCCGUGCCCGCUCCUCCCCCACCUCUCAGGGAACUGCCGCCCCCGACCCCCCACCGGAUCUCUCCACUGCCAUGACCUCAACCCCGGCCCGGGCUGGGGUUCCCCACCUGCCGGGGGAGGUCCCAUCGCAGAGCACAGAAGGCGACGAGACAGCCCACCCACACCCACCAUCAGACGCCUCCGGUUGUGGAGCAUUUUUAAAAUAGUUCUUACGGUUUGGCAUCCGCAAGGAUUUGGCGGCGUGUCCCCUUCCUAGAGUUCACAAGCACAGUCUCGCACACUCAGGAACGCUUGUGAAGCCAAACCUCACUGUGUCUUCAAAGCCCUGGCACGCUUACAAAGACCAAGUUUGAUGCCAGUUUCAAAAGGGCUAAAGGGAAGGGCCGAAAGGGCCCCGGGGCCCCUGCCCCCGCCCUGGCACACGGGCAGCCGGCCUGGAUGCUGGGGAACCCUCCAUGCCCGGGACUCAGGGCCCUGUCCUCCCCUCCCUUUGCAGUGACAGGAUGGAACGUUGGGACCUGCUUCUGCGACUUGCUUGCUUUCCCUUGGAGACCGUCCCACAGCCGGGCGCCAAGAGCUUUGUCGUGCUUUCUUGUGGCUGCAGUCUUGUCUUCGUUUAUAGUUUGUCCCCACAGCCCUGAAGCAGUGUCGUCGGUCAGGGAGCGCCCAGGGCCUGGAGCCCCUGACGGUGCCUCUCCCGCCCCCCCACCCCGCCUUUUCCCCAUCUGCGGGUCCCCUGGUCAUUUCAGGGCUGGGUGCCUGGGGCUCGUGCUGUGCCCGGAGGGGUUAAUACGGCAGCUGGUGUAACCGCUGUAUCCCAGGCUUCAUGGGGUGUCACUUACAGACUGGAGCAUGCACCUGCUUUAUGGGCAUAAUUCAGUGAUUUUUGGUAAAUGUGCAGAUCCCUCUGCCCCCAGUGGCAGUCUCUGCCUCUCCUCCCUGCCCUGGGCACCCCCAGUCUGCUCUGUGUCUCCAUCCACGUGCCCGUCUGGACGCUUCGUUUGAGUGGAAUCUGUGCUGUGUGGCCUCCAUGUCUGGCAUUGUGCACUGAGCACAGUGGCUUUGAGGCUUGUCUUUGGCGCUUCGGGGACCCGGCUUCCUUCUGUCUUACGGCAUCCCCGUCUGCAUGGACCAUGGUUUAUUCCUCUGUGCCGCGGUCCACGGCCCUCUGUACCGUUCCUGCCUUUUGGUUCUCGUGCGUAGCGCUGCUGUGAACGCCGUUUGUGCACAUCUCUGCAUCGGAUGCGGGGUUUUGCUUCUCUUGGCUGGAGACCUAGAGGUGGUCAAUGGGGUGUGUUUGCUAAAUAAAUGGUGACCUUUC